AUUGAACGCUGGCGGCAGGCUUAACACAUGCAAGUCGAGCGGAGAGAGGUAGCUUGCUACUGAUCUUAGCGGCGGACGGGUGAGUAAUGCUUAGGAAUCUGCCCAUUAGUGGGGGACAACAUUUCGAAAGGAAUGAUAAUACCGCAUACGUCCUACGGGAGAAAGCAGGGGAUCUUCGGACCUUGCGCUAAUAGAUGAGCCUAAGUCGGAUUAGCUAGUUGGUGGGGUAAAGGCCUACCAAGGCGACGAUCUGUAGCGGGUCUGAGAGGAUGAUCCGCCACACUGGGACUGAGACACGGCCCAGACUCCUACGGGAGGCAGCAGUGGGGAAUAUUGGACAAUGGGCGCAAGCCUGAUCCAGCCAUGCCGCGUGUGUGAAGAAGGCCUUAUGGUUGUAAAGCACUUUAAGCGAGGAGGAGGCUACUUUAGAUAAUACCUAGAGAUAGUGGACGUUACUCGCAGAAUAAGCACCGGCUAACUCUGUGCCAGCCGCCGCGGUAAAAC
rnacentral:rRNA from 1 species